rnacentral:rRNA from 1 species
UGAGAGCAAGAGCCCGGAGACGGUAUCUGAGACAAGAUACCGGGCCCUACGGGGCGCAGCAGGCGCGAAACCUUUACACUGCACGCCAGUGCGAUAAGGGGACUCCAAGUGCGAGGGCAUAUAGUCCUCGCUUUUCACCACCGUAAGGUGGUGGUGGAAUAAGUGCUGGGCAAGACCGGUGCCAGCCGCCGCGGUAAUACCGGCAGCACAAGUGAUGACCGCUGUUAUUGGGCCUAAAGCGUCCGUAGCUGGCCGAGCAAGUCCAUCGGGAAAUCUCUCCGCUUAACGGAGAGGCGUCCGGUGGAAACUGCUUGGCUUGGGACCGGAAGACCAGAGGGGUACGUCUGGGGUAGGAGUGAAAUCCCGUAAUCCUGGACGGACCACCGGUGGCGAAAGCGCCUCUGGAAGACGGAUCCGACGGUGAGGGACGAAAGCUCGGGUCACGAACCGGAUUAGAUACCCGGGUAGUCCGAGCUGUAAACGAUGUCUGCUAGGUGUGACACAGGCUACGAGCCUGUGUUGUGCCGUAGGGAAGCCGUGAAGCAGACCGCCUGGGAAGUACGUCCGCAAGGAUGAAACUUAAAGGAAUUGGCGGGGGAGCACUACAACCGGAGGAGCCUGCGGUUUAAUUGGACUCAACGCCGGACAUCUCACCAGCAUCGACAGUGUGCAGUGACGGUCAGUGUGAUGAGCUUACCUGAGCCACUGAGAGGAGGUGCAUGGCCGCCGUCAGCUCGUACCGUGAGGCGUCCUGUUAAGUCAGGCAACGAGCGAGACCCGCACUCCUAAUUGCCAGCAACACCCUUGUGGUGGUUGGGUACAUUAGGAGGACUGCCAGUGCCAAACUGGAGGAAGGAACGGGCAACGGUAGGUCAGUAUGCCCCGAAUGUGCUGGGCGACACGCGGGCUACAAUGGUCAAGACAGUGGGAUGCAACGCCGAAAGGCGACGCUAAUCUCCGAAACUCGAUCGUAGUUCGGAUUGAGGGCUGAAACUCGCCCUCAUGAAGCUGGAUUCGGUAGUAAUCGCG